AAUAAAAAAAAACAAAAUAAAAAAUUGGACGAGAAUUUUUGGAGAGAAAUUUUGCAAUCGAUGCUCUGUUGGUUGCAACAUUAGUUUCUAAUAACAACCAAUUUCAUUUGGUUACAAAAAUCGGCUACUUUAGCAACUACUUGGCAAAUCGAUUGCAAAUUAAAAAAAAAAAAUUGGAUAGAAAUUUUUUAGCAGAAAAUUUAGCAAUCGAUUUGCAAUUGGUUACAAAAAUUAGUUGCUAUUAAUAAUCGAUUUAAGUUAGUUAUAAAAAUUAGUUACUAAAUAGCAUCUG
rnacentral:misc_RNA from 1 species